rnacentral:lncRNA from 1 species
UCCUCCUUGCUCUCUUCGAUGCCUGACUUUUAGGGAAAGCAUGCCACUACGCCAUGAGAAUACUCAAGCAGCCCAUGGAGAAGCCUAGAGGGGAUCAUGUGAAGCCUUUUGUCAACAAAUAGCAGCAGGCAUGUGACUGGUGGAAGGCUCUGUACGUGCUGCUUGUGACCAGCACCAAGCACAAACAUCACUGGUUCCACAGGUAGGCACGUGCACCAAGCAUCAGUAACUCACCACGGGCGUGAGGGAUGGGUUACACCAAGCUUUGGGCAGUCUUCUGUCAUCUUUCU